GGUCAGUGUGGUGUAGUGAUUUGAGUGUCAGACUAUGAUUCUGGAGACCAGGGUACAAAUCCCUGGGUGAUCU